GACGAACGCUGGCGGCGUGCCUAAUACAUGCAAGUCGAGCGAAUCGAUGGGAGCUUGCUCCCUGAGAUUAGCGGCGGACGGGUGAGUAACACGUGGGUAACCUGCCUGUAAGACUGGGAUAACUUCGGGAAACCGGAGCUAAUACCGGAUACUUUCUUUUCUCGCAUGAGGGAAGAUGGAAAGAUGGUUCUGCUAUCACUUUCAGAUGGACCCGCGGCGCAUUAGCUAGUUGGUGAGGUAACGGCUCACCAAGGCAACGCUGCGUAGCCGACCUGAGAGGGUGAUCGGCCACACUGGGACUGAGACACGGCCCAGACUCCUACGGGAGGCAGCAGUAGGGAAUCUUCCGCAAUGGACGAAAGUCUGACGGAGCAACGCCGCGUGAGCGAAGAAGGCCUUCGGGUCGUAAAGCUCUGUUGUUAGGGAAGAACAAGUACGAGAGUAACUGCUCGUACCUUGACGGUACCUAACCAGAAAGCCACGGCUAACUACGUGCCAGCCGCCGCCGUAAGAC
rnacentral:rRNA from 1 species